rnacentral:antisense_RNA from 1 species
CUUCAACGACCCCAGCAACAAAGGACGUUCAGGCUCCCGGCCCUGCCCGUACGUCGCCAGCAGCGCCUGCGCCUC